UACAGGGGGUGCAAACGUUGCUCGGAAUCAUUGGGCGUAAAGCGCACGUAGGCGGUCUGUUAUGUCGGAUGUGAAAGCCCUUGGCUCAACUGAGGAAGUGCAUCCGAAACUGGCAGGCUAGAGUACUAAAGAGGGUCGCGGAAUUCCCGGUGUAGAGGUGAAAUUCGUAGAUAUCGGGAGGAACACCGGUGGCGAAGGCGGCGACCUGGGUAGAUACUGACGCUGAGGCGCGACAGCGUGGGGAGCAAACAGG
rnacentral:rRNA from 1 species